UACGUAGGGUGCGAGCGUUGUCCGGAAUUAUUGGGCGUAAAGAGCUCGUAGGCGGUGUGUCGCGUCGGCCGUGAAAACCUGGGGGCUCAACUCUGGGCGUGCGGUCGAUACGGGCAUCACUUGAGUUCGGCAGGGGAGACUGGAAUUCCUGGUGUAGCGGUGAAAUGCGCAGAUAUCAGGAGGGAACACCGGUGGCGAAGGCGGGUCUCUGG
rnacentral:rRNA from 1 species